GGAGGGUGCAAGCGUUGUUCGGAAUUACUGGGCGUAAAGCGCGUGUAGGCGGCUUCGCAAGUCGGAUGUGAAAUCCCAGGGCCCAACCCUGGAACUGCAUCCGAUACUACGGGGCUAGAGUCCUGGAGAGGAUGGCGGAAUUCCGGGUGUAGAGGUGAAAUUCGUAGAUAUCCGGAGGAACACCAGUGGCGAAGGCGGCCAUCUGGACAGUGACUGACGCUGAGACGCGAAAGCGUGGGGAGCAAACAGGGAUUAGAUACCCUGGUAGUCCACGCCGUAAACGUUGAGUGCUAGACGUCGGAGGUAUUGACCCCCCCCUCGGUGUCGCAGCUAACGCAUUAAGCACUCCGCCUGGGGAGUACGGCCGCAAGGCUA
rnacentral:rRNA from 1 species